rnacentral:rRNA from 1 species
CAAUAGCGUAUAUUAAAGUUGUUGCAGUUAAAAAGCUCGUAGUUGGAUUUCUGGUGGGAGCGAUCGGUCUGGCGCUUAGCGCGAGUACUUGCAUCGUCUCCGGCCAUCCUUGGGGAGAGUCUGUCUGGCAUUAAGUUGUCGGGCAGAGGAUCCUCAUCGUUUACUGUGAAAAAAUUAGAGUGUUCAAAGCAGGCUUAUGCCGUUGAAUAUAUUAGCAUGGAAUAAUAAGAUAGGACUUUGGUACUAUUUUGUUGGUUUGCGCACCAAAGUAAUGAUUAAUAGGGACAGUUGGGGUUAUUCGUAUUCCGUUGUCAGAGGUGAAAUUCUUGGAUUUACGGAAGACGAACUACUGCGAAAGCAUUUACCAAGGAUGUUUUCAUUAA